rnacentral:tRNA from 1 species
GUCUGGGUGGCUUAGUCGGUUAAGCGUGUGACUCUUUAUCUCUGCUCAGCUCAUGAUCUCACAGUUCGUGGGUUCGAGCCCCUCUUUGGGCU